UCCCUGGUGGCUCAGUGGUAAAGAGUCUGCCUGCCUGUGCAGGAGCCACAGGUUCAAUUCCUGGUCCGGGAA
rnacentral:tRNA from 1 species